GACUGUUUGUAAACAUUUUACAACACUGCAGGAACAACGCAGGUCAAUUGUAUGCAGGGAUGAUAGAAAUGCGCCUCGGCAUAUGGAAUUUCAGGAGUACAGAUAAAAGCCGUAGGGGAGGCAAGAGAAUGAAUAGGUAGGCCAAUCGCCACAUAUACCCAAAAUACCAGAACGAAAACCUCACUCGGGAACUUUCAGCCACU